AUGGCAUUCAGACUGCAGAAGACCUGGAAGCUAGGGCCAUAUGAGCCAUGCUGCAUCCAUAAGUACAACAGGAGCCCAGGAAGCCAUGGGAAUGCUGGAGACAUUCAUCACCACAGGAUCAACCAUGACAAAUACUACCCAGGAUGCUUUAGGAAAGUUGGUAUGUGGCAUUGCUAUUUAAAAGAGGAACACAAUCUUCUUCCCAACUGUCAACCUGGAGAAUUUGUGGACACUGGUCACUGAGCAGACAAGGGUUAAAGCUGUUCCCAACACUGAUGUGAUGCAAUAGAGAGAGAUCUGAAAAUUCUGUGGAUGGGAAUGCCCCAUAAGCAGCCUGACAUCAUGAAGGCUGAGUUUUUAAGCAUCAGAUCUUAAGAGAUGAUUAAGAAUGUUGGAAAUGUUAGUGUCUUGGUGGCU
rnacentral:lncRNA from 1 species